CGUGCGGCAGCCCAACGUGCUGCUGCACUCCCCUCACCCGGGACUGGAUCCCUGUAUGGGCGACGGACUGCUGCAUGGGUUGCACGGCAUGGAGGAUGUUGCUAGGAUUAUUAUAAAUAGAGCUGUUUUUUGAGUCACCAGCUGCCACUGUUGUGUUUGCAUGGGUCCUGCAGUGUCCUCCCACCAUCCACAAAAAUGCAGGUUCAACAUCAGGAGGUUGCCCUAAGCGUUUCCCGACAGCUCAAGGCAUCCUCUCUUGCCUGUCUUCUUCCCUGCAUUUCCUGUCUUCCUCUUUUCUUUUUGCACUUGUAUGCCCCGAUCCUUGUCUGUCUCCUUGCAGGGUUUUUACAUGCCAGGUCCUGAUGGUUGGUGGUUCCCUCUCUCCAGAUGGCCCACUCUGAUCAUUUAUUGAUGACAGGAGAACAGAGGAAGGCCUACCCAGCUGCUGCUGCCUGGCACCCCGCUCAGUGUGCACACACACACACACACACACACACACACAAAUAAACACAAACACACAUAUUCGCGCAAUGACUCACAUGCAUGCAUGUAGUUAUUGGAAUAGACUCACACCCUGUCGCACAUACAGACGCACGCAGACAAAUUUUUUCCCUUAAUCUCCUUUUUGCAGUGUCACACAUUUCUGCAUUACUCUCUUCUACUGUCAGGCGUGAUUCUGUGCUGCACUUUUGCACUCUCUCCCUCCCUCCCUCCACCUCUCUCUUCCUGCCUCCAGCUCUCCUUCUUUCACCUCCUGCUGUGGUGUUACUGACUCUGUCACACAGGAACAGACAGAAGGAGAGACAGAGGGUGGGAGAGGGAGAGAAUGUGAGAGCUUGAGAGUAGUGUGGAAGGUUUUAGAAUUUGAAAAUGCUAUAACUAUGAAUAUGCUGCAGUUUAUGUAAAAAUCCUCGCUUUGAAAAAAUGAGAGCUUUUUU